AUGUAUCAGGACCUACGCCAGAGGUUCUGGUGGACUAGGAUGAAGAGAGAAAUCGCUGAGUUCAUUGCUAAAUGUGACGUAUGUCGUCGCGUUAAGGCAGAGCAUCAAAGACCUGCUGGCACCCUUCAGCCUUUAGCUAUUCCUGAAUGGAAAUGGGAUAAAGUUGGUAUGGACUUCAUCACCGGCUUUCCCAGGACCAAGAGAGGGAAUAAUGCUAUCUUCGUAGUCAUUGAUCGUCUCUCCAAAGUGGCUCACUUCCUUCCUGUUCGAGAGAGUAUCACUGCUAGUCAGCUUGCUGACUUAUAUAUUUCUCGAAUAGUGUCACUCCAUGGUGUUCCACUAGAGAUCAAUUCAGACCGUGGCAGCCUUUUCACUUCUCAUUUCUGGGAGAGUUUCCAAACUGCCAUGGGAACCCAUCUUUCCUUCAGUACCGCUUUCCACCCUCAGUCGAGUGGUCAGGUGGAACGGGUCAAUCAAAUUCUCGAAGACAUGCUCAGAGCUUGCGUUAUCUCAUUCGGUAUGGAUUGGGAGAAAUGUCUUCCGUUCGCCGAAUUUGCUUAUAACAAUAGCUACCAAUCCAGCCUCAAGAAAGCUCCUUUUGAGGUUCUCUAUGGACGAAGAUGUCGAACACCUUUGAACUGGUCAGAAACCGGUGAAAGACAAUUCUUUGGACCGGAUAUGAUCCAGGAGGCAGAAGAGCAAGUUCGCAUCAUUCGUGAGAAUUUGAAAAUAGCCCAGUCUCGUCAGAAAAGCCAGUACGAUCGUCAUCAUAAGGAUAUGACUUAUGGAAUUGGCGACCAAGCUUACCUUCGGGUUACUCCUUUGAAGGGUACCCAUCGUUUCGGUAUCAAGGGCAAGUUGGCUCCUCGUUACAUUGGUCCCUUUCGCAUUCUCGCCAAACGAGGAGAGGUUGCCUACCAGUUGGAACUACCCCCACAUCUUUCUCGAGUUCAUGAUGUCUUCCACGUCUCUCAACUCAGGCGUUGCUUCUCGGAUCCUAUCCGCGGAGUGGACCACGAAACGCUUGAUCUCCAAGAUAACCUCACAUACCGAGAGUACCCGGUUCACAUUCUUGAUCAAGCAGAGCGUGUCACCCGACGUCAGAACAUCAAGUUUCUCAAAGUUCAGUGGUCUCAUCAUUCCGAGAGAGAGGCUACUUGGGAGCGAGAAGAUCGUCUUCGACUGGAGUACCCCGCUUUCUUUCCGUCGACCCCUGAAUCUCGGGACGAGAUUCUUUCAAGUGGGGGCGAGUUGUCACAUCCCUAG
rnacentral:rRNA from 1 species